GCCCGGCUGCGCCAACUGGCCGAGCGGCCUGGCUUAAACCCAGGUGAUUGUGGGUUCGACUCCCACGCCGGGCA
rnacentral:tRNA from 1 species